GUUUUGCUCAACUUGUCCAGAAAUAAAAUGUUAGUUCCUCUCGUGCGAUGAACAUAGGUUGCAACAAUAAAAGCAUACAAAAAAUUCAAUGGAGAUAACAGGAAAGACAUAAUUAUCCUCCUUUUCUACUGAACACCGAAAAGUAACAAAACUUGCAAAACCUGAUCCUAUCAAAAUCUAAAUCCUGAUGUUGAAGUAAUCCUGGUCAAAAUGAUGCAAUCUCACAUAUCCAUCUUCACCACCACUUGCAAAACUUUUCCCAUCAGGAUUGAAAGCCAAAGCAUUUAUUGGUCCAAAAUGCCCUUUGACACCUCCUAUUUCUUCAGUAAGAAUCUUGUCAUAGAACUUGGCCUCAAACUUUCCAGCACGAUGGUCAGUAGUGGUGACAGCUGAAGCGUCUUGACCACCUCCCAGAACCACAUGAUUAAGAAGCGGCGACAUUGUGACAGCAUUCACGGGUCGUUCGGUCGUAUAGUUCUUGAUAAGUGUCAAACUUCUGAUGUCCCAGAGCUUUGCAGAUUUAUCAAGAGAACCAGUAAUGAAGUGCGAACCAUCCACUGAUUUUUGUAGCGAUGUAAUACCCUUUUUAUGACCGAUUUCUUUGUCAGACUCCUUCAGUACCUUUCCAGUCUCAGCAUCCCAGAUACGUAUUACAGCAUCUUCACCAGCACUUAUAAUUGUUUUAUUCAGGGGUCCCCACACAGCUCUGUUGAUUCUUCCCUGGGGACCCUUUAAGACGAGCACCGACUCACUCAUUUGUUCACUGGGAUCUUUGCUGAUAUUUUUGAUAUGGAUAGCAGAUGUCAGUCCCAUAAAAGGAUCAGUGGUGAUCACUGCGAGUUUAUCGCCAACUGAAAAAUCAACAGACCUAGCAGGGGAGUCAAAGGUGAACGUGUGCAGCUGGGCACCAGUUUGGACAUCCCACAACAUUGCAGUCUGAUCCGCACUUCCAGUUAUUAGCCUGGACGAAUCCCGAGAAACGUCACAGCACCAAACGGCACCGUUAUGGCCACGGUAAGUGCCGAGGCGCUCGCCGUUAUCGGCAAACCAAACGGUAGGGGUAUGGUCCUUAGCGCAAGAGAAGAGCAGAUCUCCAUCUCUGUUGUACUUUAGAAAAGUUAACGGCCUUUCAUGGCCCUUCAUCAAUAUUGGCCUCAUCGUUGUUUGUAGUCGGUCGCCGGAGUGAUUCUCUCAGUGAGAUUGUUGUUCGUCGCCGGAGUAAGUUCG
rnacentral:misc_RNA from 1 species